AUUGAACGCUGGCGGCAUGCCUAACACAUGCAAGUCGAACGGAUGAAGCGAGCUUGCUCCUGGAUUCAGCGGCGGACGGGUGGGUAAUGCCUAGGAAUCUGCCUGGUAGUGGGGGAUAACGUCCGGAAACGGGCGCUAAUACCGCAUACGUCCUGAGGGCGACAGUGGGGGAUCUUCGGACCUCACGCUAUCAUAUGAGCCUAGGUCGGAUUCGCUAGUUGGUGGGGUAAAGGCCUACCAAGGCGACGAUCCGUAACUGGUCUGAGAGGAGGAUCCGUCACACUGGAAUGGAGACACGGUCCAGAAUCCUACGGGAGACAGCAGUGGGGAAUAUUGGACAAUGGGCGAAAGCCUGAUCCAGGCAUGCCGCGCGUGUGAAGAAGGUCGUCGGAUUGUAAAGGACUUGAAGUUGGUAGGAAGGGCAGUAAGUUUUUACCUUGCUGUUUUGACGUUACCAGCAGAAUAAGCCCCGGCUAACUUCGUG
rnacentral:rRNA from 1 species